UUGUCAAAUGAUGAGUAUUAAACUACAACAAUAUGAUGGAGUUAUACUCCUUUGAUUCUGCAACAAUAUGAUGAUCCUUUGUUGAAC